AGAGUUUGAUCAUGGCUCAGAUUGAACGCUGGCGGCAUGCUUUACACAUGCAAGUCGAACGGUAACAGGCCGCAAGGUGCUGACGAGUGGCGAACGGGUGAGUAAUGCAUCGGAACGUGCCCAGUCGUGGGGGAUAACGCAGCGAAAGCUGCGCUAAUACCGCAUACGAUCUAUGGAUGAAAGCGGGGGACCGUAAGGCCUCGCGCGAUUGGAGCGGCCGAUGUCAGAUUAGGUAGUUGGUGGGGUAAAGGCUCACCAAGCCAACGAUCUGUAGCUGGUCUGAGAGGACGACCAGCCACACUGGGACUGAGACACGGCCCAGACUCCUACGGGAGGCAGCAGUGGGGAAUUUUGGACAAUGGGCGCAAGCCUGAUCCAGCAAUGCCGCGUGCAGGAAGAAGGCCUUCGGGUUGUAAACUGCUUUUGUACGGAACGAAACGGUCUGGGUUAAUACCCUGGGCUAAUGACGGUACCGUAAGAAUAAGCACCGGCUAACUACGUGCCAGCAGCCGCGGUAAUACGUAGGGUGCAAGCGUUAAUCGGAAUUACUGGGCGUAAAGCGUGCGCAGGCGGUUUUGUAAGACAGUCGUGAAAUCCCCGGGCUCAACCUGGGAAUUGCGAUUGUGACUGCAAAGCUGGAGUGCGGCAGAGGGGGAUGGAAUUCCGCGUGUAGCAGUGAAAUGCGUAGAUAUGCGGAGGAACACCGAUGGCGAAGGUAAUCCCCUGGGCCUGCACUGACGCUCAUGCACGAAAGCGUGGGGAGCAACAGGAUUAGAUACCCUGGUAGUCCACGCCCUAACGAUGUCAACUGGGUUGUUGGGUCUCUUCUGACUCAUUAACGAAACCUAACGCGUGAAGUUGACCCGCCUGGGGAGUACGGCCCCAAGGUUGAAACUCAAAGGAAUUGACG
rnacentral:rRNA from 1 species